rnacentral:lncRNA from 1 species
UGGCAAGCGUCAAAAUGGUAGUUUAUAUCGUCUGCUGACUUAGUUGCAUCUACGACGGGAGGUGGACGAUUUUGACUUCGUUAGCGUCCUGUUACGUCGAAGUUUCUUAUGAUGGUCGGAAGGUAUCUGUACGUUCCAGCGCUCAGCUCCACAACUUCACUCGACUUCCACAUAUAACUUGGCUGGUGUGUAUCUUGGGAUUCUGGUUUCGGUGGUGUCAGACUAAUGGGAGAUAAAUCUUCUAUUGGAUUGGAUGCCAAUCUAUAUAUAAAUCAGUGAUUUCUUGGAAACAUUAGAAGACUUGCAGCCAUGGAUACUUUGUUCAUAAGCCAAACAUGCUGCAGUCCACUUUGCCAACAUCCUUAUUGUUGGAAAUCUGCAAAUAAAAUAGAAUAUUGCUGUCCUGUGAAUACA